UAAAAUAAUUACUCUUUACUCUGAUCGUCCAGUAUGGGCAUUGCUGUCGACUACUUGUAGUCAGUAAUAUUCUAUUUUUUACAUUAAAAUGUCUCAUCUCUUAAGCUGAAAAAAAAUUUCUGAUCGAAAAAUGUCCAAAUUCACGCCCCUGAUGAUUAUUGUAUUGUUUGUUCUUGGCACUGUGCUCGUUAACACUGUGGAGGGCGGGCCAUGUACUCUUUCUGAAUAUAGUUGUGACAAAAAUGAAGAUUGUUGCAGCAACAAAUGCGUUGAAGAUGAUGAUGAAAUGAUAUGUAAAGGAGAUGACAUGGAGCGUUACUCUGCAUCUUUAAAAAAUUAAGAUUGUUAUUAAUAAUUAAAAAUUAAAAAUUACGAGUAACGAUGUAAACAUUUAAGAAAUGAGUAAAUUUUAUUUGAAAUAAUAA